GUUUGAUCCGACGGCCCACAUUCAUUUGGAGGGGCUAUAUAAGCAGGCCCCCUGGCCCCUGGAGAACAUACCUCUUCUACAGAAUCAAAACUAGGGUUUCAAUUAUUCAUCCAAGUAGAGAGGAUCCCUCUAGUUCAUCUAGUUCUAGUUCUAGUUCAUCUACUUCUAGUUUUAGUUAGUUCUAGUUGUAAUCUAGAAAAUAGGGAGAGAGAAGAGGAGAGCAGAGAAGGAGCCGGAUUUGUCGGAUCUUCCUCAACAUUGCACUUUUGCAGCAACUGGUUCGUUCUUCAUCGUUCUCCAAGUUCUUCAAUUCAUAAUUCUUGAGUUCUUUAAUUACUUUUAUUUACAUUCAAGUUAAUUAUUGGAUUCCCGCUUGCAUCAAGUGCUCUAGUCUUUGAAACGCUAGAGUAGUAAUUAAUAGAUUAGACGUGGUGUCUAGUAUUGCAAUUACCUGGAAUUGCACCCAAUUGUGCGGAUUGUUGUGGUAGCUCUAGGGUAGUGAUAGCCCUAGCGGUCGACGUAUUCCACCUCGUUCGGAUCGGUGUUUGUAGGACCAUAGUCAGAGCUUCCUAUCCCCUUCUCAUCUCUUUUUGUGGUUAGUGUUCUGAUGUCCCGAAAUAAAUAAUCUUUGAAGUAAUUCUUGAUUCUUAGAUCAACUAGAGAACUCUCAGGAAACUUCCUCUCUUCCUACCAAAAAUAAUUAUAUAGUUAUCCUUGGGCGAUCUUGAAUCUUAAUUAGUACACUCACGUUCCCUGUGGAAAAUCGAUACUCUGGAAUACUCCCGGGUGAAAGCUACAUCGGUAUCUGUGCGCUUGCGGAUUUUUCUGUUUGCGUUUAAAAUACCCAACAAGCUUUCUGGCACCGUUGCCGGGGAAUGGUAGCUGUGCUAGUUUCGAACCAAGUCGUCUGUGUAUCCUUUUUCUUUUCCUUUUUUAUCACACUCACCUUACCAUUUUCACCAUACCACAUGGAUUUCACUCCAAACAUUAAUGAGCAUGGAAUUUAUUUCAUAGGCACUUCAUUUGCUCCAUGUUUAUAUGCAACAUCUUCCCAAUCUAUUGGUCUCUCCAACAUCACCACAUUCGAGAUCUCCAACCCUCUCUUCCUUUCUAUUUAUAAAAACUUUAAAAGGGCAGUUGUUGAUGCAUAUGUCUAUAAUAAAUAUUGCAGAUCUCAUUGAGUUGAUCUUGAUAUAGGUCAGCGUUGGAGGGCAAACCACUUCGCCGACAUAAAUUGAUGGUUUCCCAAGGACAAGCUUAGUGUCCUAAAAUAAGCACUGAUCAAAUCGUAACAAGAGCUCUUAAUUAUUUGCAGCAUUACCUUGUGUAUUGAGCAUAUAAGGAUAAUUAUAAAAAAAUUCCUUCGGGUAUUCUUGUCACUAACCUUUCUAGGAUUGUAGCAAGAAGAUCAGAUGAAUGACAAGCACAAGGUAUGUCCAACCAAUCAUCAUACAACAUUGAAUUAAAUUCAUGCAAACUUGAAUCUUGCAAAAUUCAAGCUUGGGGGAGUACUUUACAUAAAAACAUCCUUUGCCAUGUUGCUAUGUUGGUUGUCCCUACCUUUGAGACAUGCUCAAUUUGUUAAAUACUAAUCACAGUACUUCAUCUCCACUUGAGUAGAUCUCUAUAAAUGCUCUCAUGGUACCUUUAUUUGCUUUAGUAUAUGUCUAGGUUUGGAGUAGUUUCAAUUAUCUCUUAAUUAAGCAUGGUGCUUAGUUUAGGGCUGAUGAUCUUACUUCCAGAGGAGUUUAAAUUAAGCAUGAUGCUUAGGUUAAAAUGCCCUCCUAAAUCAAAUUAGACAUGGUGUCUAGGUUGAUUUUUGUGCCGAUAGUGUGCUAUAGUAGAUAUUGGAUAUUUUGUUGGACUAACCCCUAUAGGAAAACUUUCAAUAUCAACCUGGGAAGUCCUGAGAUAAACUCACAUUGAAGACAAAGAGAGAGACACAUAAAGUUUAACAAUUUACACAAGGAAGGCAUAGCUCACAAGAGAUGAUCCAUGGAGGGUGCCACAAACACGAUGCAUAACCGCUAAGAAAGAAAAGCUUCCACAAGGUGAUACUGUACCAUCACUCUUCAAGUAAGGUAACAUCUUAAGGUACUUGACUAUCACUUUUAUAAUCUUCUCCUUGGUUCUGGUGUUCACAUGAAUAAAAAAGACAAACAUGUAUGAUUUACAACUCUAGAUUAACCAACCCCGAUUCAAUAUGUUUAGUCCUUCCACCGUUGUGAUCCCACACUCCUAAUCAUACGAGCUAAAAUGUUGCCCACUCAAUCUUUGGAAGAUAUAUAAAAAAACACAACAUAAAUAUAGAUAGAUUAUCUUCCAUUAGGUUGAGCAAUCUUAUCUGACAAAUGUUUUAAAUGCUACACUCAUGAUCUUAUUAUCCAUCAAGUUUGUCUUGCUCACUAUGCUUAAGGUUAGAGAGAACAAAUACACUUUUGGUUCUGUUAGUGUUUUCCACCAACAGGGCCCAUGCACUUGAUCUCUGCCAUGUCUCUAUGAGCUGGUACACUUCGAGCAAAAUAUGAAGGAGUUUUACAACUCCCAGACUCCACUAAGUGAAGAAUCUGGAUUUACGAGCACAAACACACUGGAGAUAAUAGACACUCAGGCAAUCACUGCCCUGAGAUGCUUGAGGACAUAAACUACAUCAACAACUACUACUACUACUACUACAACCGUCCUCAACAAAAUCAAGGUUGGAAUCAACAGAGGCCUAACUACUCAGGUAAUUAUCAAGGUAAUAAUUCUUACAAUAAUAAUAAUAAUUUUCUACCUCUGAGAGAGUUAGUGUCUAAUCAAGGAAAGCUAAUGGAUAACCUAUCUAAGAAAUUGGCAUCUAAUGAUAAAAUGUUAGAAAAUAUAAAUAAUAGAAUGGAUAAUUUCUCUACUGCCAUCAAGAAUUAAAUUAGCUUUAAUAAAAUAAUUGAAUCUUAGUUAAAUCAAAUAGCUGCUGCUGUUCCUGCUACUAACCCCGGUAUACCAUCACAACUGGAAGGAUUAGAAUCUACAAAUCUUGUAGACAUGUGUGAUGCAGGUAACAACUGGAGUAAUCCUGUUGUGGAAGUAAUUACUUACCUUCUACCGGUCAAGAGAGGUGAUCCUGGAUGCCUCGAUCUCCAUCGGCAUGGUGGACUUCCUAGAAGCACUCUUCAACUUUGGCUCCAGCGUCAACGUUAUGCCUAGGUUACUCUAUGAAAAAUUCUCUACACAUCCUUUACUAGAAACAACCAUGUGUUUGCAGCUUGCAGAUCGGACACUAAGUUUCCCAAAGGGAAUAUUGAAGAACCUCUGCGUCCGAGUUGGUACCUUGUACGCCCCAGCAGACUUCGUGGUGAUAGAGACUGGUACUGAUGAGAGGGCACCCAUCAUCCUAAGGAGGCCAUUCCUGAACACCUCAGUAGCUGUCAUCUACGCUAGUGCUGCCAAGAUCAGUUUCUACAUCAAGGGGACAAAGGAGAAGUUUUCCUUCAAGAACAAUACUACACAAGUCUUAGAGCAAUCCCGACAUGAACCAAGGAAGAGGACCAAUAGGAGGAACAGGAACAAGCAAAUGUGGACAAAGUUAGCUAAGAUGGUCACUGUAGUUCAAGGAGGUCAAGACCUUCAACUUAAGUCACCGUUCCUGACCAAAAAGGACGACCCAGGUAUGCCAAGCAUCCAGUGCUCCAUUAAUGGAUAUAACUUCCAGAAGACGCUUCGUGACACCGGGUCAGGCGUCAACAUAAUGGCCGCAGUCACCUAUCAGCUCCUGUUCGGAACCAUGCCCCUAAAACUAACAUACAUUCAGCUCCAGAUGGCAGAUCAGACAUUACGAGAGGUUGAAGGUUAUUGACAUGGGAGAAGAUGAGUACGAUCCACCCAUCAUCCUUGGGAGACCGUUCCUCAGCACCGUUAAAGCAAUCAUCUACAUUGGAACCGGAGAAGUCCACAUGCACUUCCCCUCUAAGAAGGUACGCCGCUAUUUUACUGACCCUAACUAUAUAGUUGAAGACUCUAAGAAGGUCAGGACAAGAAGAAGACGACACAACCGCAACCAGAGGAGGCAAAUCAUCAAGGACGGAUGGGCAGACUACGAAGGAGAAGUGGUAAGGUCUGAAGACAUACAACUUAAACAUAACUGUCCUAAGGAGACCAUAGCACCGACUCCUGUAUGGAGAGAGACGAUAGUUAUACACGAAGAGCAGGCGCCGCCGGAACCACCGACUCCGCCAUCCAGCGAAUCCUAGGACGACUGAGAAAACAGAGAGUCCCGCUCGAAAUACUUAAAAACACCAAACGCCUUGCCAAGAGGUAAACUUGGUAGUUAUCCUUUUCCUUUUAAUUAUUUAAAAUACUUUGAUUAGUUAAUCAGGUUCAUAUCAUCUUGAAAAUAGAAUAAAAUGUUAAAAUAGUAAGCCCCAUGUGAGUAUGCUCAUGGCAUAAAACCCAUAAGUACAUUCACUGUGGUGGCGUAAAAAAUGAAAUAAAUAUAUUCCUGUCCUAUAAAAAUAAAAAUAUAAAAAUAAAUUUAUGAUCCUACUAAAGAGAGUAAAAUUUAUUGAGGAGGCUCAACAUGAUAAAGGCUAGAUAUUUAUGCUAACACUUAACCAGUUCCACAAAGCUUUGUUGUCUAUUUGAGCACCACUGAAUUCAAGGAUCAAAGAAGACUAGGAGACGGAGGACAUCCUAAUCGCUGUCACGGUGCUGCCGACAUUCAAAUACACCUCCGCCACCUGCUAGCUACAUCAGAAGAAAUUACAUCAAAAUCCAGCUUGGGGGAGAGCACCCCCAUUUAUCCAGCUAAGUGUUCUACUCACGUUUAUACUUUACUUAAAUAAUAAAAAGAUGCAUAAUCAUAAAAACCCAAAUAAAGAUUUUGUGCUUAUAUAUAUCUUUGCUUAGUUUGCUAAAUAAAUAAAUAAAUAAAGUUUGCUAUGAACCAUCAUGAUAAGCUCUCACAUGGAAAGGAUGAAUAGUUGCUCUGCCAUGACUAGUUCUUAAAAUUGAAAUCUCUCUCAAGUUUAGGCAUGACUGUUAUUAAUUAAGAUUUGCUCUAAACCUGAACUUGUGGGAAGAGUACUUGAUCUAAAGUCUAAGUCGUUAAUGGAUACGAUAUGGGAAGGUUGAGUUGUUGUUUAUCUGUUCCUAGAGUUGCUAGAAUUCUGGAGAAUUUUUAUCUUUGAAAAUCUUUAAAGUGUUGCAUGAUGAGUUCCUGUAUGAUGAGAGUUUAAAAUCCUACCACAGCCAUAUAUACAUACUUAUUAGACUAUGAACCAUACAUUUACUUUUUACUGCUUAUGAGCAUUAAGUGUGGUCAAGCUGUGUAGACCCUUAGGAGCUUGUCAUGCGGUUAAAAUCAAGAUUCACUUGCACGUUCACUCAUACAUGCUGCUUCUACUCUGGAAGUACGCAUCCACAUACAUCCACUCAUUUCCAUAUCUAGAUUCACCCAAAAUUAUUCUACUCCUAUCUAGGUGAGAAUAGCCAAAAACAUUAUCCUAUCCUUGUUAUUCCCCGUGAAAUAAAUGCUCGAGAUAUUUUGGUUACUACCACUUGCUACAUUAUUCCAGGAGGGUGAGUGCUCUAAAAAAGGUGAAUACGAGGAAAUAAAAAGGGGCAAGUGCCUGAAACCUCGAAAAAAAAGAAGAAAAAAAGAAAAAGUGAGAAGAGAGGUAAAAAUGGACAAGUGUCCGAUAGUAGAAUUAGGGGUACAAGAUACCCAUCUGAGAGAAAAGAAAAAUAAAAUAUAGAGCAUCUCAUUCGCCUCAAAAAGUUUCAAAAGAGCAAGGAAGGUAUGUAUCCCCUCAAAAGAGCAACAAGUAGAAUUAGACUUUCACCAUUGUUAUCACCAUCAUCACCAUACACCAUUCAUUCGUCACACAUGCACAUCUUGAUUUGACUUAUUGACUUGUUCUUUUGGAUCCAUGGUUUGACUAUCCAAUAAAUGUCUUGUAAGUAUGUAUUAGCUGUCUCCCACCUAUGAGCUCCAGAUAUCAAAACCUUAUUAGAGUAGUGUGAGAUAGAAGGCAAUGCGACUAUGCCUCAUACCAAAAAUACCACAUACUUUGAGAGAAGGCAUACACCAUUACUGCCUUGGUAAGGAUCUAGAAAUACCACAAAAGAGAGACUAGAGAGAGUGAUACAAGGAAUCUCUGAGUUUUAUUUGAAAAUCUGCAAAAACUCCAGAGCUAUAGUUAAUCGAAGAACAAGCGACAUGGCGCUUGACUAGACCGUUCUAUCUUUUAACUGCUCAAGACACAAGUGACAGUUGCAAGCCCCAUGGUGGAAGGUAAAAUGAGUAAGGGUAAAUCUAAACCGUUUACCCUAACCCAGAGAUGAGAUCUUGUUUGAACGCAUGUGUAUCUUUAAGGCUUGAAACCACUACAGAAACUCUUGAGUUCAUCUUUGCUCAGGGAUGAGCAAAGGUUAAGCUUGGGGGAGCUUGUUGACGGUCCUUAAUGCUCAUAUUUAACCGUCAACUAAUCAUGGAAAAGGACCUAUAUGCAACCGACACCUAGACUUAGGGCUUUGUCUAAAUUCCACGAGUUUGGGUGUUUGUCUAUUUCUGCAGGGGGUUAUCAGGAAAUAUAGAGAAAAGGCCAACACGUCAGGUUUACAUAGAGAUAUUAACGUGUGCGCUAAUUUUCUAUCAUCUAGAAGACUCCAGAAGCCACGGGAACGAACGGGAGGCCGAACAGGCCCGGGGGCAGGGCGCCCGCCCUCCCCCUUGGGCGCCCGCCCAGCUAUAGGAGCCAAUCAGGCUCUGCCUCACGGAUUAUGCUCCAUCGACAUAAAGGAUUAAGGAAAACCGUGCGAUUAAGGUCGGUUUGAUCCGACGGCCCAUAUUCAUUUGGAGGGGCUAUAUAAGCAGGCCCCCUGGCCCCUGGAGAACAUACCUCUUCUACAGAAUCAAAGCUAGGGUUUCAAUUAUUCAUCCAAGUAGAGAGGAUCCCUCUAGUUCAUCUAGUUCUAGUUCUAGUUCAUCUGGUUCUAGUUCUAGUAGUUCUAGUUGUAAUCUAGAAAAUAGGGAGAGAGAAGAGGAGAGCGGAGGAGGAGCCGGAUCUAUCGGAUCUUCCUCAACAUUGUACUUUUGCAGCAAUUGGUUCGUUCUUCAUUGUUCUCCAAGUUCUUCAAUUCAUAAUUCCUGAGUUCUUUAAUACUUUUAUUUACAUUCAAGUUAUUUAUUGGAUUCCCGCUUGCAUCAAGUGCUCUAGUCUUUGAAACGCUAGAGUAGUAAUUAAUAGAUUAGAUGUGGUGUUUAGUCCUGCAAUUACCUAGAAUUGCACCCAAUGCUGCAAAUUGUUGUGGUAGCCCUAGGGUAGUGACAGCCCUAACGGUCGACGUAUUCCACCU
rnacentral:lncRNA from 1 species